rnacentral:tRNA from 3 species
GUACUAGUAGUUCAAAAGCCGGAACGCCGGUUUUGUAAACCGGAUGUUGAGGGUUAAAGCCCCUUCUGGUACU